UACGGAGGGUGCAAGCGUUAUCCGGAUUCACUGGGUUUAAAGGGUGCGUAGGAGGGCAGGUAAGUCAGUGGUGAAAUCUCCAAGCUUAACUUGGAACUGCCGUUGAUACUAUCUGUCUUGAAUACCGUGGAGGUGAGCGGAAUAUGUCAUGUAGCGGAUGAAAUGCUUAGAUAUGACAUAGAACACCAAUUGCGAAGGCAGCUCGCUACA
rnacentral:rRNA from 1 species